CCAGGUUUGCCCCGGCUGGCACCUCCAGCACAAUGCUGAAUAGAAGUGAUGAGAGCAAACAUCCUUGUCUUCUUCCUGAUUUUAGUGGUUUUUACCCAUGUGAAUGAAAAAUAUUGCCUGCCAUCAAGCCAUCACAUUGAAGCUGCCCCUGACUGUGAGCCCUGAGGGAACUCAGGUUGGAGGGAACUCAGGUUGGAGGGAACUCAGGAUGCCCAUCAUCAGCCACCGCAGCCAUCCCCCAACAGUGUACCCUUAGGAGAUUCUGGAUGGGAAAGCACAGGAUACUGGCCCUAGAGAGCGGAGAGGUGGAGUCUGUUUCCCCUUCCUCUGAAUUUUGGCUGCCCCUGGACCCAUUUUGAUCAAAGAAAUGCAAGAAAAUUGACAAUGUGUACCUUCCAAGGCUGGACCUUAAGAGAUCUGCAGCAUCUGUCUUCAUCUUGAAAUGUUUCUUCUUGGAAACUUGUCAUCAUCCUGUGAGGAAGCCAAAGCAGACAGUAGACAGGCUGACAUCCAGCAGAACAGAGCUCGACAUGUAACAUUGUGGCCAGGGCUCCCCACUGAGCUUUAAGCUGGCAAUGAACAUCCCUUGCUAGUCAUAUGAGGAAGGCUAUCUUGGAGCAUCCAGCUAUUCCAGCUUCUCAGCCAACGCUGCGGGAAGCAGAGCCACCCAACUGAACAUUGCUUGAAUUUGUGACCCAUAGAAUUAUAAACAAAUAAAAUGAUUGCUGCUUUAAGCCA